ACUCCUACGGGAGGCAGCAGUGGGAAUAUUGCACAAUGGGGGAAAAGCCCAUGAUGCAGCCAUGCCGCGUGUGUGAAGAAGGCCUUCGGGUUGUAAAGCACUUUCAGUAGGGAGGAAGGUAGUGUAGUUAACACCUGCACUAUUUGACGUUACCUACAGAAGAAGCACCGGCUAACUCCGUGCCAGCAGCCGCGGUAAUACGGAGGGUGCGAGCGUUAAUCGGAAUUACUGGGCGUAAAGCGCAUGCAGGC
rnacentral:rRNA from 1 species